rnacentral:rRNA from 1 species
AGAGUUUGAUCCUGGCUCAGAUUGAACGCUGGCGGCAUGCUUUACACAUGCAAGUCGAACGGCAGCACGGGGGCAACCCUGGUGGCGAGUGGCGAACGGGUGAGUAACACAUCGGAACGUGUCCAGUUGUGGGGGAUAACCCAUCGAAAGGUGGGCUAAUACCGCAUGAUCUGGCGACAGCAAAGCAGGGGACCGCAAGGCCUUGUGCGAUUGGAGCGGCCGAUGUCCGAUUAGCUAGUUGGUGGGGUAAAGGCCUACCAAGGCGACGAUCGGUAGCUGGUCUGAGAGGAUGAUCAGCCACACUGGGACUGAGACACGGCCCAGACUCCUACGGGAGGCAGCAGUGGGGAAUUUUGGACAAUGGGGGCAACCCUGAUCCAGCCAUGCCGCGUGAGUGAAGAAGGCCUUCGGGUUGUAAAGCUCUUUCGGUGGGAACGAAACGGUUACGGUUAAUACCUGUGACUAAUGACGGUACUCACAGAAGAAGCACCGGCUAACUACGUGCCAGCAGCCGCGGUAAUACGUAGGGUGCGAGCGUUAAUCGGAAUUACUGGGCGUAAAGCGUGCGCAGGCGGUUACUUAAGUCAGGUGUGAAAGCCCUGGGCUUAACCUAGGAAUUGCGCUUGAGACUGGGUAGCUUGGAGUGUGGCAGAGGGAGGUGGAAUUCCACGUGUAGCAGUGAAAUGCGUAGAGAUGUGGAGGAACACCGAUGGCGAAGGCAGCCUCCUGGGCCAGCACUGACGCUCAUGCACGAAAGCGUGGGGAGCAAACAGGAUUAGAUACCCUAGUAGUCC